GAUGAACGCUAGCUACAGGCUUAACACAUGCAAGUCGAGGGGAAACGAUAUUGGAAGCUUGCUUCCGAUAGGCGUCGACCGGCGCACGGGUGAGUAACGCGUAUCCAACCUGCCCAUCACUUGGGGAUAACCUUGCGAAAGUAAGACUAAUACCCAAUGACGUCUCUAGAAGACAUCUGAAAGAGAUUAAAGAUUUAUCGGUGAUGGAUGGGGAUGCGUCUGAUUAGCUUGUUGGCGGGGGUUAACGGCCCACCAAGGCGACCGAUCAGUAGGGGUUCUGAGAGGAAGGUCCCCCACAUUGGAACUGAGACACGGUCCAAACUCCUACGGGAGGCAGCAGUGAGGAAUAUUGGUCAAUGGACGAGAGUCUGAACCAGCCAAGUAGCGUGCAGGAAGACGGCCCUAUGGGUUGUAAAC
rnacentral:rRNA from 1 species